rnacentral:rRNA from 1 species
GACCGAUCUCAUCUCCUUGCAAUUAUAAAAAAAACUCAUCCUCUCCUAAAAAAAGAAAAACUUCUCCCUAGAAGCGUCGCCGCAUUCAUCUCCCAUCGAUGCAUCGCCGUCCCCCAUUUCCAGGCUCCGCCGCCGCCCUCACCUCUCCGACUCGACGCUUGUGCUUCCAGAUCGAAGCCCACGACGACGGCGCUCCCAAAUCGAUGACACGACACCCCUGGCUCGUCCUCAUCAAGGAAGCGCGGCUUCCAGCGGGCGGCGAUGAAGGAAGGCCCUUGGAUCCGCGCUCCCGCAGCUGACGACGGCCAUGACGAGGUUGCUCCAGAGGGGCGACCCCCAUGACGAGAGAGGGCCCUCUGCGUACAUGGCGCAGCGGCGCUCACCCCCGGUUUCAGGUACCGCGCGCACCUCGCCUCUUCCACUCCUAAUCCAGCUGAUGAUGUUUGGUGCGGAGAUGUACAUGCUGGCGUUCAACACCACGGAUGGACAGAGGCUGGGCAGAACCCAGCCAUGUACGUCCAGAGGCGGUUGCCGGACAGGCUGGAGGAUGAGGAUAGCGCGAGCGCGAGGCGGAGUACACAGGAGGUGACUGGGUCGCACUCGACAUGCGGCGGAUUCGGCCCACGCGGCCAGCGCGUCAUACGGGUCCGCCAACGCCGCCCGAAAUACCACCAGCAGUCCAACCUCAACACCUCCUUGUUCACCGGCAUCGGCAUGUCGCCCGUGAACAGCGCGGGCGCCCCGACGAGGAACGACAGGAGGAGAAGGAGCACACGCGUAGGAGCCGCCAUUUUCUGAUGGAUGGUGGCAAUGGUGGAUUGUAUGGAACAGAGGUGGCGAUCGAUGGGCAGAUCUGGUUGGCUAGCAAGAUGGUGCAUGGUGCAGUGGUCGAGCUGGGCGUUUUGGUUACAGCAUGGUGGAGGCAGGCGCGCAAGGACUGAGCAGCAACAACUCAGCGGCGGCAUACCAGCAGAGAUGAUGCUCUGAAUUAAGUACGAUCUGGUUAAUUUUGGCUUCAAUCGUUGUCCCUUCGAUCUGGAAUAGACAACAGAUGCGGGGCUCUUAAAUUCCUCCUCCUCCUGCUGUUCCUCGUCGUUGUUGUUCAUUGUUGUCACACACAGCAAGUCACUCGAUCUCUGUCCUCCAUGAACCUGACUAUCAGGAAUUUAUGCAUGUCUGUCAAAUUUUGUUUCAUUGUUGUGUCGUGUGUAACUGUGCAUACGUAUGUUUAGACAAUAUAAAUAGUGAGAGCCAAUAAAAUAGCUAGAACUCCACUACAGCUAGCUCGAUGUCUCCAAAGUCAUAAACAACUAGAAGAACUAGCUGUGUGUGACAACAACGAACUAAGUAGUGAGAUAAGCACACUUCGAAAGUUACUUCAAACUAGCUGUAGCACAUAGAUUACACAAUGGAAAUUUCAAGAUAGUUUUUGACGUCCUUUGAUAUGCCCAUGAAUAGUGAGUGCUGAUUGGA